GAUGAAGAACGUAGCGUAAUGCGAUACGUAAUGUGAAUUGCAGAAUUCAGUGAAUCAUCGAAUCUUUGAACGCAUAUUGCGCUCUCUGGUAUUCCGGAGAGCAUGCUUGUUUGAGUAUCAGUAAACACCUCAACUUCCAUAUCUUUUUUGAAAUGGGAGUUGGACUUGAGUGAUCCCAACGCUUUUCCUCACCGAAAAGUGGCGGGUUACUUGAAAUGCAGGUGCAGCUGGACUUUUCUCUGAGCUAUAAGCAUAUCUAUUUAGUCUGCCUAAAAAACAGAUUAUUACCUUUGCUGCAGCUAACAUAAAGGAGAUUAGUUCUUGUGCUGACUGAUGCAGGAUUCACAAAGACGGCUUCGGCCGACUUUGUAAACUCGAUCUCAAAUCAAGUAAGACUACCCGCUGAACUUAAGCAUAUCAAUAAGCGGAGGA
rnacentral:misc_RNA from 1 species